GAUGAACGCUGGCGGCGUGCCUAAUACAUGCAAGUCGAGCGAACGGACGAUAAGCUUGCUUCUCUGAUGUUAGCGGCGGACGGGUGAGUAACACGUGGAUAACCGACCUAUAAGACUGGGAUAACUUCGGGAAACCGGAGCUAAUACCGGAUAAUAUUUUGAACCGCAUGGUUCAAAAGUGAAAGACGGCCUUGCUGUCACUUAUAGAUGGAUCCGCGCUGCAUUAGCUAGUUGGUAAGGUAACGGCUUACCAAGGCAACGAUGCAUAGCCGACCUGAGAGGAUGACCGGCCACACUGGAACUGAGACACGGUCCAGACUCCUACGGGAGGCAGCAGUAGGGAAUCUUCCGCAAUGGGCGAAAGCCUGACGGAGCAACGCCGCGUGAGUGAUGAAGGUCUUCGGAUCGUAAACCUCUGUUAUUAGGGAAGAACAUAUGUGUAAGUAACUGUGCACAUCUUGACGGUACCUAAUCAGAAAGCCACGGCUAACUACGUG
rnacentral:rRNA from 1 species